rnacentral:rRNA from 1 species
UACGUAGGGUGCGAGCGUUAAUCGGAAUUACUGGGCGUAAAGCGCACGUAGGCGGCUUCUUAAGUCAGGGGUGAAAUCCUGGAGCUCAACUCCAGAACUGCCUUUGAUACUGAGAAGCUUGAGUCCGGGAGAGGUGAGUGGAACUGCGAGUGUAGAGGUGAAAUUCGUAGAUAUUCGCAAGAACACCAGUGGCGAAGGCGGCUCACUGGCCCGGUACUGACGCUGAGGUGCGAAAGCGUGGGGAGCAAACAGG